rnacentral:lncRNA from 1 species
AACAUAUACCAAUAAUUUGAAAGGUAAAAAAAUAAAAAUGUUAAGAAAAAUAAACAUUUGGUCACAUGUCAUCUCCUUCAAACUGGGCUAUUGGUUUUCCCUGUAGAGAUACAUAGCUAUUAAAAAAAAACAAAAACAAAGAAACCAAUAAAACAAAACCCAGCCCCAAAACAUUUUAGGAAUAAAUGACCUGUUAAAAAUACAGCAAAACCAUCCUCUGACCUUGAAACAGAGUUUAUGAAUUCUGAAAAGGUGAGCAAAAACAUAAUAAUUAACUAUAUACCUGCC